rnacentral:misc_RNA from 1 species
AAAAAAGCCAAAGAUAUCACAGAAUACACUAAAUUGAAAUUUCCAUAGUCAUAUUAUGGAAAUCCAAAUUCUGAUUCAGAAAGAUAAACACAAAUGUGGAAAUCCCUCCUUGACUAAAAGCAAUGACCAUGUUUAGAAUAGCAAAGACACAUCUUAGCUGUACAGAAGCAACAAUUAGUACCAACAUAGCUGCUCUUUAGCAGCAUUUUAUAAGUCAGCCAAAAAUUCCUGGUUCUUUUUUCCACUCCCUAACCGGAUAGACUUUCUCAAGAAGUAGAUUAGUAAUUUAGGCACAAGGAUACAUGUGAAAGUAUGAAUAAAUAUUUGAGAAUUAAUAAUGCACCAGAAAAACAAACAAGUAUUAUUUCAAAGUUCCACAUUUUUAUGAACGUU